CUCAUACUUACUCCGUUCGGAAUUACUUAUCGCGAAAAUGGAUGUAUCUAGACAUAUUUUAGUUCUAGAUACAUCCAUUUCUGAGACAAGUAAUUCCGAACGGAGAAAGUAGAAU
rfam:Triticum aestivum genome assembly, contig: Triticum_aestivum_CS42_TGACv1_scaffold_321584_4BL